rnacentral:rRNA from 1 species
UACGGGGGGAGCAAGCGUUGUUCGGAUUUACUGGGCGUAAAGGGCGCGUAGGCGGCCACCGCAAGUCGACUGUGAAAUCUCCGGGCUUAACCCGGAAAGGUCAGCCGAUACUGCGGGGCUAGAGUGCAGAAGGGGCAACUGGAAUUCUCAGUGUAGCGGUGAAAUGCGUAGAUAUCUGGAGGAACACCGGUGGCGAAGGCGGGUCUCUGGGCCGAUACUGACGCUGAGGAGCGAAAGCGUGGGGAGCGAACAGG